CUGUAACAGAAAGUGAGGCCCUGACAGCCAUGCCAUGUUACUUACCUUACAGCCAAGGUAAGUAACUGCCCCAUAUCCAUUCUCACUGACGUCACAAAAAUGGUGCAGUUGGGCUGCACAAGCUUCUCCAAACUGAGGCAGUUUCAGACACCUAUUGACCUCUAGUUUGUCCAGCAGAUGGAGCUGUUGGAUCCGUUUUACCCAGUCCUUGGCAAUUGAUUCAAGUACAGUCUCAUCCCAGCCUAUCCCUCUCUUGCACAGGACUCCCAGGAUUUUCUUGGCUGUCAGGAUCACUGGGCUACUCGAGAGGAUCAUAGAUUGAGGCAUUGGCUGAUAAUAUUCCUCUUCUGGUAAGUGGUCUGUCCUUAAAAUUGACCUUGAACUUAAAUUUGUCAGAUUUGAUAGACCAUUCAACACCAAGUACUCUCUCCACAGGUAGAGCAUCCAGGUCCAUGUCCAACUGCCCCAUCCCUCUUGCUCUGAGACUCACAGAGAUGGUUUCCAACACACCUGAUUUGUUGCUCAUCCACUUAAUGAGACAAAAUCCUCCCUUGGAGCAUAAAGAGACCAGUUCUUGGCGCAGCGACACAGCUUCCUCCUCUGUGGCCCCAAACAAAUGC